CGAACGCUGGCGGCGUGCCUAAUACAUGCAAGUCGAGCGGACAGAUGGGAGCUUGCUCCCUGAUGUUAGCGGCGGACGGGUGAGUAACACGUGGGUAACCUGCCUGUAAGACUGGGAUAACUCCGGGAAACCGGGGCUAAUACCGGAUGCUUGAUUGAACCGCAUGGUUCAAUUAUAAAAGGUGGCUUUUAGCUACCACUUACAGAUGGACCCGCGGCGCAUUAGCUAGUUGGUGAGGUAACGGCUCACCAAGGCGACGAUGCGUAGCCGACCUGAGAGGGUGAUCGGCCACACUGGGACUGAGACACGGCCCAGACUCCUACGGGAGGCAGCAGUAGGGAAUCUUCCGCAAUGGACGAAAGUCUGACGGAGCAACGCCGCGUGAGUGAUGAAGGUUUUCGGAUCGUAAAACUCUGUUGUUAGGGAAGAACAAGUACCGUUCGAAUAGGGCGGUACCUUGACGGUACCUAACCAGAAAGCCACGGCUAACUACGUGCCAGCAGCCGCGGUAAUACGUAGGUGGCAAGCGUUGUCCGGAAUUAUUGGGCGUAAAGCGCGCGCAGGCGGUUUCUUAAGUCUGAUGUGAAAGCCCCCGGCUCAACCGGGGAGGGUCAUUGGAAACUGGGGAACUUGAGUGCAGAAGAGGAGAGUGGAAUUCCACGUGUAGCGGUGAAAUGCGUAGAGAUGUGGAGGAACACCAGUGGCGAAGGCGACUCUCUGGUCUGUAACUGACGCUGAGGCGCGAAAGCGUGGGGAGCGAACAGGAUUAGAUACCCUGGUAGUCCACGCCGUAAACGAUGAGUGCUAAGUGUUAGAGGGUUUCCGCCCUUUAGUGCUGCAGCAAACGCAUUAAGCACUCCGCCUGGGGAGUACGGUCGCAAGACUGAAACUCAAAGGAAUUGACGGGGGCCCGCACAAGCGGUGGAGCAUGUGGUUUAAUUCGAAGCAACGCGAAGAACCUUACCAGGUCUUGACAUCCUCUGACAACCCUAGAGAUAGGGCUUCCCCUUCGGGGGCAGAGUGACAGGUGGUGCAUGGUUGUCGUCAGCUCGUGUCGUGAGAUGUUGGGUUAAGUCCCGCAACGAGCGCAACCCUUGAUCUUAGUUGCCAGCAUUCAGUUGGGCACUCUAAGGUGACUGCCGGUGACAA
rnacentral:rRNA from 1 species